AACGAACGCUGGCGGCAGGCCUAACACAUGCAAGUCGAGCGCCCCCGCAAGGGGGAGCGGCGGACGGGUGAGUAACGCGUGGGAAUUUUCCUCAAGGUACGGAACAACUCAGGGAAACUUGGGCUAAUACCGUAUGAUGUCUAGCGACCAAAGAUUUAUCGCCUUGGGAUAAGCCCGCGUCAGAUUAGGUAGUUGGUGGGGUAACGGCCUACCAAGCCUGCGAUCUGUAGCUGGUCUGAGAGGACGAUCAGCCACAUUGGGACUGAGACACGGCCCAAACUCCUACGGGAGGCAGCAGUGGGGAAUCUUGCGCAAUGGGCGAAAGCCUGACGCAGCCAUGCCGCGUGAAUGAUGAAGGUCUUAGGAUUGUAAAGUUCUUUCGCCCGUGACGAUGAUGACGGUAACGGGAGAAGAAGCCCCGGCUAACUUCGUGCCAGCAGCCGCGGUAAAAC
rnacentral:rRNA from 1 species